rnacentral:rRNA from 1 species
CGUGCCUAACACAUGCAAGUCGAGCGGGGACAUACGACGGAUCGGAAGUUUUCGGAUGGAAGAGAAGAUGUAUGUUCUAGCGGCGGACGGGUGAGUAACGCGUGAGCAACCUGUCCUUCACAGGGGGAUAACACAGCGAAAGUUGUACUAAUACCGCAUAAGACCACAGCGGGACAUCCCGCAGGGGUCAAAGGAGCAAUCCGGUGAAGGGUGGGCUCGCGUCCGAUUAGAUAGUUGGUGAGGUAACGGCCCACCAAGUCGACGAUCGGUAGCCGACCUGAGAGGGUGAUCGGCCACAUUGGGACUGAGACACGGCCCAAACUCCUACGGGAGGCAGCAGUGGGGAAUAUUGGGCAAAUGGGGGAAACCCUGACCCAGCAACGCCGCGUGAGGGAAGAAGGUUUUCGGAUCGUAAACCUCUGUCCCAGGUGAAGAGUAAGAGACGGUAGCCUGGGAGGAAGCCCCGGCUAACUACGUGCCAGCCGCCGC